UGAUAAGUUGGAUGUGAAAUCCCAUGGCUUAACCAUGGAACUGCAUCCAAAACUGUCAGACUAGAAUGAGGGAGAGGUCAGUGGAAUUAGUGGUGUAGGGGUAAAAUCCGUAGAGAUCACUAGGAAUACUCAUUGCGAAGGCGACUGACUGGAACUUUAUUGACGCUGAGGCGUGAAAGCGUGGGGAGCAAACAGGAUUAGAUACCCUGGUAGUCCACGCCCUAAACGAUGUACACUAGUUGUUGGGAUGCAAGUCAUUCCAGUGAUGCAGUUAACACAUUAAGUGUACCGCCUGGGGAGUACGGUCGCAAGAUUAAAACUCAAAGGAAUAGACGGGGACCCGCACAAGUGGUGGAGCAUGUGGUUUAAUUCGAAGAUACGCGAAGAACCUUACCUGGGCUUGACAUCCCGAGAAUCACCCAGAGAUGGGUGAGUGCCAGUUUACUGGAGCUCGGUGACAGGUGCUGCACGGCUGUCGUCAGCUCGUGUCGUGAGAUGUUGGGUUAAGUCCCGCAACGAGCGCAACCCUCGUCCUUAGUUGCUAACAGUUAGGCUGAGCACUCUAAGGAGACUGCCUUCGUAAGGAGGAGGAAGGUGAGGACGACGUCAAGUCAUCAUGGCCCUUAUGCCCAGGGCGACACACGUGCUACAAUGGCCAGGACAAUGAGAGGCGAUACCGCGAGGUGGAGCAAAUCUA
rnacentral:rRNA from 1 species